rnacentral:rRNA from 1 species
GAUGAACGCUGGCGGCGUGCCUAAUACAUGCAAGUCGAGCGAACAGACGAGGAGCUUGCUCCUCUGACGUUAGCGGCGGACGGGUGAGUAACACGUGGAUAACCUACCUAUAAGACUGGUAUAACUUCGGGAAACCGGAUCUAAUACCGUAUAACAUGUUGAACCGCAUGGUUCAACAGUGAAAGACGGUCUUGCUGUCACUUAUAGAUGGAUCCGCGCCGCAUUAGCUAGUUGGUAAGGUAACGGCUUACCAAGGCAACGAUGCGUAGCCGACCUGAGAGGGUGAUAGGCCACAUUGGAACUGGGACACGGUCAAUACUCCUGCGGGAGGCAGCAGUAGGGAAUGUUCGGCAAUGGGCGAAAGCCUGACGGAGCAACGCCGAGCGAGUGAAGAAGGUCUUCGGAUCGUAAAAAUGUGUUAUUAGGGAUGAACAAAUGUGUAAGUAAAUGUGCACGUCUUGACGGUACCUAAUCAGAAAGCCACGGCUAACUACGUG